rnacentral:lncRNA from 1 species
CUGUCCCUCACCUGUCUCUCACCUGUAUCUCACCUGUCUCUCACCUGUCCCUCACCUGUCCCUCACCUGUCUCACCUGUCGCAGCUGGCGGAGCUGCAGGACAAGGCGGGCUCGGCCGAGACGAAGGUUCUGGAGAUGGGGACGACGCUCGAGGGGCUCCAGUGGGACAGCGCCAAACUCAGGAAGCGCGAGGGGCGGCUGGACCGGCACCUGGCCGAGGCCCUGGAGCAGCUGACCUCGGGCUCGUGCGGCUGCGGCAGCUCCGGCGGCUUCCAGGGCGGUCAGAUCACGCUGAGCGUGCAGAAGGUGCCGGGCUCGGGGCGAAAACGAACAAAUUCGGGAAAAACGGACAAAAUCGGGGAAAACGGACAAAAUCGGGGAAAACGGACAAAAUAGGGGAAAACGCGGAAAUUCGGGAAAACGGACAAAAACGGGGAAAACAAACAAAUCAGGGAAACGCGGAAAUUCGGGGAAAACGGACAAAUUGGGGAAAACGAACAAAUCGGGGAAAAACACGGAAAUUCGGAGAAAACGACCAAAAUCAGGGAAAACGAACAAAUUGGGGAAAACGCGGAAAUUCAGGCAAAAAUGACCAAAUCGGGGAAAAACAACCAAAUCCGGGGAAAAUGACCAAAAUCAGGGGAAACGACCAAAAUCGGGGAAAACUAACAAAAUCGGGGAAAAACAACCAAAUUGGGGAAAACGACCAAAUUGGGGAAAAACGAACUGAAUUGGGGAAAAACGACCAAAAUCGGGGAAAAACACCAAAAUCGGGGAAACGACCGAAUUGGGGAAAAUGACCAAAUCGGGGAAAACAACCAAAUUGGGGAAAACGACCAAAUUCGGGGAAAACGACCAAAAUCGGGGAAACGACCAAAAUCGGGGAAAAUGAACAAAAUUGGGGAAAAUGAACAAAUUGGGGAAAACGACCAAAAUCAGGAAAAACUACCAAAAUUGGGAAAACGCGGAAAUUCGAGGAAAACGCGGAAAUUCAGGGAAAACUACUAAAAUUGGGGAAAACGACCAAAUUAGGGAAAAUGACCAAAAUCAGGGAAAACGACCAAAUUCGGGGAAAACGAACAAAAUUGGGGAAAACGCGAAAAUUCGGGGGAAAACGACCAAAAUCGGGGAAAACGACCAAAUUGGGGAAAACGACCAAAAUCGGGGAAAACGACCAAAUUGGGGGAAAACGACCAAAUUCGGGAAAAUGACCAAAAUCGGGGAAAAAGGACCAAAUUCAGGAAAAACUACCAA